UAACGUCAUAGAUCUUAAAGAACACAUCCUGAAUCUCCCUUUCAAGGAACAAAGUACGAAGGAACUGCUGAGUCUCAGAAACGCGCAGCACCUGAAGGAGGCCGAGGCGGCGAGCCAACUCAGGGAAGCCCAGGAGGCGCUCAAGUCCCGAGACAAGAGGGUCAAGACACUGAAGCGGCAGCUAAAGGAGAAAGAGGCUGAAUGCGGACGACUGAGCUCGGUGCUGGAAGAAAAAGAAAUACAAAUCAGCCAAUUGGAGGGUCAGCUAGAGAUACACGAGAGAAAGGUCAGGACUUUGCAAUCGCGACUGGACGAUAAAGAAAAUCAGUUGCAUGAAUUGCAGGAGUCUCUUCAAGCAGAGCCGAUGGAUGCUUCUCAGCGCCCGGACGCGCUUGUC